UACGGAGGGAGCUAGCGUUGUUCGGAACUACUGGGCGUAAAGCGCACGUAGGCGGCGCAGCAAGUCAGGGGUGAAAUCCCGGGGCUCAACCCCGGAACUGCCCUUGAAACUGCAGUGCUAGAAUCCUGGAGAGGCGAGUGGAAUUCCGAGUGUAGAGGUGAAAUUCGUAGAUAUUCGGAAGAACACCAGUGGCGAAGGCGACUCGCUGGACAGGUAUUGACGCUGAGGUGCGAAAGCGUGGGGAGCAAACAGG
rnacentral:rRNA from 1 species